rnacentral:misc_RNA from 1 species
GUUGGAAUUGACAGAGAUGAACAUGAAUUUCAUUCUCCAAGGAAAACUGGAGAGGAAGUUAGAAUGCCUCUUUUAGGAUCAAACUCUGAGGUUAAGGAGACAGCAGUUGGGUUCAUUCAAGCAUGGAAAAUUCCAGGGGUUGCUCCAUUUGCCCUUUGCCUUUUCUUCACCAAAUUGGUGGCUUACACGUUUCUCUACUGGCUUCCUUUCUACAUUAGCCAUACAGCUAUCGAUGGGAAGUAUUUAUCAAGUGGCGCAGCUGGGAACUUGUCAACAUUGUUUGAUGUUGGAGGGGUGAUUGGAGGAAUCUUAGCUGGGCACAUGUCUGAUCGUCUAGAUGCCAGAGCCAUUACAGCAGCAAGUUUCAUGUACUGUGCAAUCCCUGCNNNAUACCGAAGUUAUGGACAUAUUUCUUUGGCUGUAAAUAUUGCCCUUAUGUUGAUCACCGGCAUGUUUGUGAAUGGGCCUUAUGCUCUUAUAACAACAGCAGUCUCAGCUGACUUGGGAACCCACAGUUCUUUGAAAGAGAACUCAAGGGCAUUGGCAACAGUUACAGCAAUUAUAGAUGGCACAGGCUCAGUUGGGGCUGCAAUUGGACCUUUACUAACAGGUUAUAUUUCUGCUUUUAGCUGGAGUGCAGUUUUCACAAUGCUAAUGGGGGCAGCUUUAAUUGCUGGUCUGCUUCUGACUAGACUUGUUAUCGCUGAACUUGUCGCGAAAAUGGCCGAAUCGAGGUCUCAAACAUCUGCAGCAUCAACAACACCAGCAGUUCAGAUUGAUGUGUGAUUUGUAGAAUUUCUCUUAGUGUUUAUGGGCUCUAAUGAUUAAAAUGAACGAUUCCUCUGAUGGUAGUUGAAGAUGGUAGAGGAUGUUUUAAAAUCUUCUCCAUGCUUUAUAUUCUUAUUUCACAUAAAGGAAAGAUUGGAAAAGAAAAUGGGAGG